rnacentral:tRNA from 1 species
GCCUGGGUGGCUCAGUUGGUGGAGCAUCUGACUUCGGCUCAGGUCAUGAUCUCACAGUUUGUGAGUUCGAGUCCCGCGUCGGGCU